rnacentral:rRNA from 1 species
UACGUAGGGCGCAAGCGUUGUCCGGAAUUAUUGGGCGUAAAGAGCUCGUAGGCGGCCAGUCGCGUCGGGUGUGAAAGACCGGGGCUUAACCCCGGUUCUGCAUUCGAUACGGGCUGGCUAGAGUGUGGUAGGGGAGAUCGGAAUUCCUGGUGUAGCGGUGAAAUGCGCAGAUAUCAGGAGGAACACCGGUGGCGAAGGCGGAUCUCUGGGCCAUUACUGACGCUGAGGAGCGAAAGCGUGGGGAGCGAACAGGAUUAGAAACCCCAGUAGUCC